GACGAACGCUGGCGGCGUGCUUAACACAUGCAAGUCGAACGGAAAGGCCCUGCUCUUGUGGGGUACUCGAGUGGCGAACGGGUGAGUAACACGUGAGUAACCUGCCCUUGACUUUGGGAUAACUUCAGGAAACUGGGGCUAAUACCGGAUAUGAGCUCCUGCUGCAUGGUGGGGGUUGGAAAGUUUCGGCGGUUGGGGCUGGACUCGCGGCUUAUCAGCUUGUUGGUGGGGUAGUGGCUUACCAAGGCUUUGACGGGUAGCCGGCCUGAGAGGGUUACCGGCCACAUUGGGACUGAGAUACGGACCAGAAUCCUACGGGAGGCAGCAGUGGGGAGUAUUGCACAAUGGGCGGAAGCCUGAUGCAGCAACGCCGCGUGCGGGAUGACGGCCUUCGGGUUGUAAACCGAUUUCGACUGUGACGAAGCGUGAGUGACGGUAAUGGGUAAAGAAGCACCGGCUAACUACGUG
rnacentral:rRNA from 1 species